CUCAGUUGAGCCUGCAGUGUCUGGCAGCUCAGGAAAAAGCUAGCCCCUCCAAUGAGAUGCGACUCUAAAUCUGCUCCCCAAAGCCAGCCAACUCUUCUUCCUCGCCCCUCUGCAUCAGGCAGAAACCCCCCAACAAGCAGGAAAGGCUUCUCUUUGAAACGGGAGAAGUAUAAUGUGUCUGUAUAACUAGGGCUCUCCUUUACACGGAUGCCUGGGUUUAAGGAUGCACCAUAAAGAGAGACCGCAACUGGCUUCGUGAUAAGCCUGUUCAGAACUCAGAGCUCCAAGUAGCAGAGGAGGCUCAAGAUGGGAACAGAAGAGACGGGAGACACUCCUGGGAGAGCUCACAGUCCUGCCUGAGAAUGGCUCUACUAGAAAGGCUUACAAUGUCCGGAGUUAAUGUGUGGCUGUAAUUGACGGAUGAAGGCUGGAUGAAGGCCUGGCAGGCAUGUAGGAUCCUGACUUCAUGACAAGGGAUUGAACCCACACCUCUUGCACUGGAAAACAAAGUUCCAACCACUAGACCUCCAAGAACGUCCCGGGAAUGUCUUAACUGGGGAUCCCUGAAAAGCAGAUUCUGUGGCAAAGAUUCAUGAGAUACCCCUGUAUCAGGGAAUACAAUCCUAGAUAGUGAGAGUGAAGAAAAGGAUAAUGAGUUUAGGAAGGGGGAAAAGACAAUAGAAGAUGCAAGGAUUGAGUUGACUAACUGCUCCAUCUCAAAAGACAAUUUUCUAAGAGGCAUUAUGGACAACUGCUUCUCAUAAGGCAAAAAAAAAAAAAAAAAAAAGUGAUCUCUAGUUGUCCCCCAACCUGUUAUUGGUUAGUCAAGGAUGUAUCCCCAAAAGAUUAAUUACUCCAGUUCCUACAACACUCAUGCAUACCCCCCACACACAUACGUCCCCUGCUUGUAUAUAUUUUGACAUCAGCUACAAAUACCUCUACAUCACUACUCUUCAAUAAGAAGGCCUUAGGGCAGGCAGUCUGUGUUGUGAAGUUGGUCACAGUCUACCCCCAGUUAGUUCUGGCUAUUGGAGUUGGAGCAGGUAAAACAGUGAGAUGGAAGGGGUGAGGGAG
ensembl:lncRNA